UUCUUCUUUCAAUUAGGACAAGCAUCAUAUUACCCAGAAUCAUAUUCACCACAGCAGCAUGUGGAGGACAGCAAUGGAGAAAUCAGUGAAUGAAGACAGGGCAGAAAUGCAAAGACUCCAGCAGGAAAACAGAGCCCUGAACAAAGAAGUUAAGGUGCUAAGGGAUGGACAAAUAGGUUCCGUGUGGACCUCAAGAAGAGUAGCUGCGGCUUUGGCAACAACUAAUAGGGAUCCAAUUUUUUUUCACCUUUAUUUAACCAGGUAGGCUAGUUGAGAACAAGUUCUCAUUUGCAACUGCGACCUGGCCAAGAUAAAGCAUAGCAGUGUGAACAGACAACACAGAGUUACACAUGGAGUAAACAAUUAACAAGUCAAUAACACAGUAAUAAAAUACCAAUACCCAUACUGAACAUAAAUAUAUGAGAAAAAUGUAAAGUGUUGGUUCCGUGUUUUAUGAGCUGAAAUAAAAGUUCCAUUACAUUUUUCAUACUCACAAAAGCUUAUUUCUCUCAAAUGUUGUGCAACAUUCCACAGGCAACUAUCAAAUGGUGGUCACACCAGAUACUGACUGGUUUUCUGAUCCACGUCCCUGUGACCAACAGAGGCAUAUCUGUGAAAUCCAUAGAUUAGGUUCUAAUGAAUUUAUUUAAAUUGACUGAUUUCCUUAUAUGAACUGUAACUCAGUAAAAUCUUUGAA